CUGGCGGCAGGCCUAACACAUGCAGUCCAGCGAGAAAGCCCUUCGGGGUGAGUAGAGCGGCGGACGGGUGAGUAACGCGUAGGAAUCUACCUGGUAGUGGGGGACAACUCGGGGAAACUCGAGCUAAUACCGCAUACGCCCUUCGGGGGAAAGCGGGGGAUCUUCGGACCUCGCGCUAUUGGAUGAGCCUGCGUCGGAUUAGCUUGUUGGUGAGGUAAAGGCUCACCAAGGCGACGAUCCGUAGCUGGUCUGAGAGGAUGAUCAGCCACACCGGGACUGAGACACGGCCCGGACUCCUACGGGAGGCAGCAGUGGGGAAUAUUGCGCAAUGGGCGAAAGCCUGACGCAGCCAUGCCGCGUGUGUGAAGAAGGCCUUAGGGUUGUAAAGCACUUUCAAUAGGGAGAAAAGGCCCACGGCUAAUACCCGUGGGAGUUGAUGUUACCUAUAGAAGAAGCACCGGCUAACUCCGUGCCAGCAGCCGCGGUAAUACGGAGGGUGCGAGCGUUAAUCGGAAUUACUGGGCGUAAAGCGCGCGUAGGCGGCUUGUUAAGUCAGCUGUGAAAGCCCCGGGCUCAACCUGGGAAUUGCAGUUGAUACUGUCAGGCUGGAGUACGAGAGAGGGAGGUAGAAUUCUAUGUGUAG
rnacentral:rRNA from 1 species